GCCACCUUAGCUCAGCUGGUAGAGCAAUGCUUUCGUAAAGCAGAGGUCCCGGGUUCGAAUCCCGGAGGUGGCUCCA
rnacentral:tRNA from 1 species